rnacentral:misc_RNA from 1 species
ACCAGUAAAACAAUGCCCUUCCAGCUUGCUGAUUUACAGUUACAUAACCUGAAUACUGACUAAAUUGUACAUUUUCUGGUUGCCCAGGCAAAUAAGUAAUUCUAUCAUUUUCUUGUUCUACAUUAUAGAAAGAAUAACAACUACCCACAAACAAAAAUGACAAGAACAUCACAUAACACAGAGAAUUCUCCAUGAAUCUGUACACACUG